rnacentral:tRNA from 1 species
GGGUCGUUAGCUCAGGUGGUAGAGCACCGGACUUUUAAUCCGAUGGCCGCAGGUUCAAGUCCUGCACGACCUACCA